AAGCUACCCUGGGGAUAACAGCGCCACCUUCUUAAAGAGUUCAUAUCAACAAGAAGACCUACGACCUCGAUGUUGGAUCAGGAUAUCCAGACGGUGCAGCA
rnacentral:rRNA from 1 species